rnacentral:tRNA from 1 species
AAGAUUUUAAGUUAAAAAAACUAUUGACCUUCAAAGUCAAAAUUAAACACAAAGUUAAAUCUUA